rnacentral:rRNA from 1 species
GACGAAGGUGGCGAGCGUUGUUCGGAAUCACUGGGCAUAAAGCGCACGUAGGCGGCUUUGUAAGUUAGAGGUGAAAGCCUGGAGCUCAACUCCAGAACUGCCUUUAAGACUGCAUCGCUUGAAUCCAGGAGAGGUGAGUGGAAUUCCGAGUGUAGAGGUGAAAUUCGUAGAUAUUCGGAAGAACACCAGUGGCGAAGGCGGCUCACUGGACUGGUAUUGACGCUGAGGUGCGAAAGCGUGGGGAGCAAACAGG